rnacentral:rRNA from 1 species
GAUGAACGCUAGCGGCAGGCCUAAUACAUGCAAGUCGAACGAGAUUAAGAGGCUUGCUUCUUAUGAAAGUGGCGCACGGGUGCGUAACGCGUAUGCAACCUACCUUAAUCAGGGGGAUAGCCCGAAGAAAUUCGGAUUAAGACCGCAUAAAAACACAGGAUAGCAUUAUCCAAUGUUCAAAUAUUUAUAGGAUUAAGAUGGGCAUGCGUGUCAUUAGCUAGUUGGCGGGGUAACGGCCCACCAAGGCGACGAUGACUAGGGGAUCUGAGAGGAUGACCCCCACACUGGUACUGAGACACGGACCAGACUCCUACGGGAGGCAGCAGUAAGGAAUAUUGGUCAAUGGAGGGAACUCUGAACCAGCCAUGCCGCGUGCAGGAAGACAGCCCUCUGGGUCGUAAACUGCUUUUAUUCGGGAAUAAACCUUUCUACGUGUAGGAAGCUGAAUGUACCGAAGGAAUAAGGAUCGGCUAACUCCGUG